UGAUUUUAUAAGGGGCUUCCCCCUUCACUCAGCACUCAUUCCCUCUCCUGCUGCCCUGUGAAGAGGUGCCUUCCGCCAUGGUUGUACGUCUCCUGAGGCCUCCCCAGCCAUGCAGAACUAGAUAACAACCAUUCUGAUGUUACUGGAUUUUAUCCUCAUGAAGAUCACGUGAUAGAAUGGACACCGGAACAUUGCCGGAAGCAAGCAGACUACCACAUGGGGCAGUAAUUGCUGGCAGAAGUCACAUCAACCACUCAUCCUGCUCAUUCUGUCCUUGGCCCAAAGCAGCAAGUCUCUUGCUAUCAUUUUUUCUUGGUAAGAACUCAAAAAAGUGACAGGAAAACUGAGAAAUUUUAUUUCCUCAGAUUUGAGGUUGAGGAGCAGACUGGCCUGGCAAGGUUAUUCUCCAGAAGAGAAGUAGUGGAAACAGCUGAGUUGGAACUCGUGUCCCAGGGGUGUUCAGGGUGCACUGAGGGGCAUGCUGUGAGCACAUGGGCUUUGGAAGGCAGUGGAGUGUCAUGGAAUUGAGCCCAUAGUAUGGAAGAGAUGCAGAAUCUUUAACAAAAAUUGCCAAAAUCACAAAAAUGGGGGAAUGAAGAAUCAUCAUAGCUAAAAUGUAUUCACUAAUGUCAGUAGCAGUUCUUGGAGCUUUGGAUAUGUUAACUCAUCAAUCCUCACAACAACUCUACUAGGCAGGCACUAUUAUUGUCCUAUUUUAGGAGUGAGGAAUCUGAGAAACAGAGAAGUUAAGUAGCUAUUCCAAGGUAAUCCAGACAGACCAUGAGCCAGGACCACUCCAGAGCCUGGGGCCCUUGGGGAGUAACACAUGGAGCUUCAUGUUUGCAUCUGGUUAGGAUGGAAAUGACACAGUCAUGGGGACUGGAGCUGGUGAAGAAUCACACUCCAAAGAGGUAAAAUGUUCAAUCAGAAUCCUAGAGAGAGCCUGGGGUUGCUCUGAGCCCUGAAAUAGGGGUCCAAGCAAACCAAGCAACCAACCAACCAAAGAACAGGAGGCACCCCAUGGGCUAUACUAGUAAUAAAAUUAAAUAAAAAUAUCAAUAACUGCUUUAAGGACCAGAUUCUGUGCUUAGGAUUUUUUUUUUUUUUUUGGGACAGAGUCUUGCUCUGUUGCCCAGGCUGGGGUGCAGUGGCGCGAUCUGAGCUCAUUGCAACCUCCGCAUGCCGGGUUCAAGCAAUUAUCCUGCCUCAACCUCCUGAGUAGCUGGGAUUGCCAGUGCCUGCCACCACACCCAGCUAAUUUUUUGUAUUUUUAGUAGAGACAGAGUUUCACCAUGUUGGACAGGCUGGUCUCGAACUCCUGACCUCAGGUGGUCCACCUGCCUCGGCUUCCCAAAGUGCUAAAAUUACAGACAUGAGCCACCAUGCCCGGCCUGUGCUUAGGCAUUUUAAACAUAUAUUCUCAUUUAAACUUCACAAGAAGCCCAUUGUACAGAUGAGGAAACUGAAGCCGAGAGAGAGAUUAAAUAACUUCCCCCAGUCACACACCUCAUAGGUGACAGCUAGGAAUCCAGGUCAGAAACCAGCCUCUCACUCACUGGCUCUUUAGUGCUCUCUCUUGUUGGGGAGGACACCAAUUUCCUCUCAAGCUUCUAAUUUCAGAACAUCUAUAUAAGGUCUGUUCAGUUGGGAGCAAUAAGAUCUUAUGAUGAAUUGAGAAAGUAUAACAGCAGCAUGUCACACAUAAACUUUUUAAACACAAAAUGCACUUAUAUAUUGUGCGAUGAAUGGUGGUAUAGCUUGUGAAGGGACAGAAGUUUCAUAACAUGGAUGGUGCCUAUCAGGACUUAUGAUAUCAAUAAGGAGAAAACAUAUGCAUGACUGACACAAUAAAGCGUGAUGAAUUGUCUAUUUUCUGGCACAAGCAAAUCAUGUCACAGGGAGUAGAGAAGAGGGGAACCAUAGAGGCUGGAAUCACUAGGGACUAUAAAAUCUAAGUUAGAAAAUCAAUACCUAGUAAAUGAGAUUUGAGAUAUGCAAAGUCACCUUAAAGAGAUAGGAUAAUAAGACUUGAAAAAAGUGCAAAGCUAAAUCAUCCUGGAUGCACCUUCUUGGUGUCCUAGCUGGUAUCUAUGUUGAUUUUAGUCAAUGCUCAUGUUAUACCAACUGUUAAGUAUUUUGACUAGCCUCCUGCUAUUAGUCAGGAUAGCCUAGGUUGGCUAUUAUAGCAAAUGACCCCCAAAUAUUGUGGCUUAUGACAAGGAUUUUUUUGUCAUGCAUUCUAGAAAGUCAUCGAAGCUCAGCUGCAGCUCCGCUCCAUACUGUCCCCACUGUGGGGCCCAUGCUAAUGGAAUAGCCUCUAUCUGGAGCAUGGUGAAGCAUGUGCUUACUGUUCAAGCUCCUUCCCAGUAGUGACACAAGUGACUACCACUCACCUUUCAUUGACCAGAGACAGUCAUAUGGUCCCACCUGAGUUCAACAAGUCACCACUAUGGAUUAACAAUAGCAUUCUGCCAAGGUGUGAAGAAACACCAUGUCUUUUGGGUGGGCGGUAAGGCUUCAUAUGGAAUACAGAAAAAUCUAAGUCAGAGAGGAAAAAUAUGGCAGUGCUCACCUAGGCCCUGUCCAGGGGACCCAAUGCCUGGGAGCCCUUCUAGGGUCACAUGUACAUCCCUGAGGAUCUCUUUUCAACAUAGCAAUCACUCUGUGAUCUGUUCAGGGUCCAAAGACAGGCAAGGAGAACAAAACUAUCAGGCAUUUGCAUACGUCUACUGCCCACAUCCUCACAUUCACAUAAUGGUUCUGGCUCUGCCGGACCCUCUCUUGAAAUAGUGGACUUAAAUACCCUUUAACUGUAAUUAAAACACCAUGGUAUUGGCAUAGGAAUGGACAGGAAGAUCAAUAGAACAGAACAGAUAGCCUUGGAAUGUAUAAAAACUUAAUUUAUGAUAAAAAAGACAUCUUGGAUAAAUGGGGAAUGGAUGAAUUAUUCAACAGAUAACAUUAGGACAGUUGGUUAGCAAAUUAGAAGAGAAAAUCAAUUUCUAGCUUAAUUCAUACUACACACCAACAUAACUUUAACUCCAAAUGGAUUAAAGAAUUAGAAAAGUAUAUAUUGGUAAAGCCAUAAAACAAGAAGAUUCUCCUCAUUCACACCCAUUCACCCCAGCAUAAUUACUUUUAAGUUUUUCUUAAUAGAAUAAAUCAUACACAAAACAAACAUUAUACAACACAUUUUUUUAAAACGUUUCUUUCUGUCGAAACAACAACCAAAGUUAAAAUGCAGCCUGGGGACAAAUAUCUACAGACAGACAAAGAUUAAUAUCGUUUAACAUAUAAAGAACGAAUACAAAAUACGACAAAAACAUUUUAUGGUGCAUAGAGAAAAAUGGACAAAACGCUUACAUAGACAAGUUAUUAGAAAAGGUAAAAUUUAAAAACACAGAAAAACAUUCAAAUAUUUUACAUGAGUAAUUCAAAUAUUACAUGAGUAAUUAAAGAAGUACAACUUAUUGCAACCCUGAGGGCCAUUGCUAAUAAAUCGAGACAAGUUUUUUUAAAUGGUAGAAUCCAGUUCUAUAAAGGGAGUGUUUUUAUAUGUUUUGAUUAGUUAUUUUACUUGGUAAAACUCUUUUAGAAAGUAAUUAGGCGAUGUAUGAUGACUCUUUAAAAUAUACUAAUAUGCCCUAGUAUUAAUACUUCUCACAAUGUAUCCUAAUGAGAUAAUCUCAGAUAUGGAAAAAAUAUUUUAUGCACGAGCAUGUUCAUCUCAAUAUAUUUGUAAUACUUAAAAUUUAAAACAGCAUGAAUUCAGGUAAGAUGUUAAAGCAAAUUAUGAUAACAUAUUUGUACUUGAUGGCCUAUUACUGAAAUGAUGCUUGCCAAGAAUUUAAGAUAACACAUGGAAACGUUUUUGUUAUGAUGCAUGUAAACAAGGCAGUCUAUGAAAUGAAUGCAUGUACAAUAUAAAAUUAUGUAGAGCCUCCCUUUGUAUCUGUCUGAGCUAAAAAAAUUAUGCAGAGCAAAAUCAUGAGAUAAAAAAAUCAGAAAAGAUUA
rnacentral:lncRNA from 10 species